GAUCAAGCGUCUUAAGUGCAUCUAGUGGAUGCCUUGGCGUGUGCAGGCGAUGAAGGACGUAAUACGCUGCGAUAAGCCUCGGGGAGCUGCGAAUAAGCUUUGAUCCGAGGAUUUCCGAAUGGGGAAACCCGACCAUUUAGGUCACCCGAAAGGGAGCUAACCUGGGGAACUGAAACAUCUAAGUACCCAGAGGAAAGGACAUCAAACGAGACUCCGUUAGUAGUGGCGAGCGAACGCGGACCAGGCCAGUGGCCUGAGGGUAAGAACGGGAAGGACUUGGAAAAGUCCGCCAUAGUGGGUGACAGCCCCGUACCGGUAGAAAGCCCUUAGGUCCUCGAGUAAGGCGGAACACGUGAAAUUCUGUCUGAACAUGGGUAGACCACUAUCCAAGCCUAAGUACUCGCACACGACCGAUAGCGAACAAGUACCGUGAGGGAAAGGUGAAAAGCACCCCGACGAGGGGAGUGAAAUAGUUCCUGAAACUGGAUGCAUACAAACAGUCGGAGCCCGCAAGGGUGACGGCGUACCUCUUGUAUAAUGGGUCAUCGACUUAGUCUGUCUAGCAAGCUUAAGCCGUUAGGUGUAGGCGCAGCGAAAGCGAGUCUGAAUAGGGCGUGAAGUUAGACGGAUUAGACCCGAAACCGAGUGAUCUAGGUAUGAGCAGGCUGAAGGUACGGUAACACGUACUGGAGGGCCGAACCCACGUCUGUUGAAAAAGACGGGGAUGACUUGUUCCUAGGGGUGAAAGGCCAAUCAAACUCGGAAAUAGCUGGUUCUCCGCGAAAGAUAUUUAGGUAUCGCCUCAGACGAAUACCUCGGGGGGUAGAGCACUGGAUGGGCUAGGGGGUCUCACCGACUUACCAAACCUAACCAAACUCCGAAUACCCGAGAGUACUAUCUGGGAGACAGACGGUGGGUGCUAACGUCCAUCGUCAAAAGGGAAACAACCCUAACCUACAGCUAAGGUCCCCAAGUCAUAGUUAAGUGGGAAAGCAUGUGGGAUUACUUUGACAACCAGGAGGUUGGCUUAGAAGCAGCCAUCCUUUAAAGAUAGCGUAACAGCUCACUGGUCAAGUGAUCCUGCGGCGAAGAUGUACCGGGUCUAAAACUAUGCACCGAAGCUUAGGGUUUGCAACUUGUUGCAAGCGGUAGCGGAGCGUUCCGUAAGCCAGUGAAGCCGUACCUGUGAGGGGCGGUGGAGGUAUCGGAAGUGCGAAUGAUGACAUGAGUAGCGACAAAAAGUGUGAGAGACACUUUCGCCGAAAGUCCAAGGGUUCCUGCGCAAUGCUAAUCAGCGCAGGGUUAGCCGGCCCCUAAGUCGAGGCAGAAAUGCGUAGACGAUGGGAACCACGUUAAUAUUCGUGGGCCAGGUGGUAGUGACGGAUCGCGCAGGUCUGUAUCCCCUUAUCGGAUUGGGGGUGCAGUGAGCCGGUUCCAGGAAAUAGCUCCACCAAUAUUGACCGUACCCUAAACCGACACAGGUGGACUGGUAGAGUAUACCAAGGCGCUUGAGAGAACUAUACUGAAGGAACUCGGCAAAUUGCACGCGUAACUUCGGGAUAAGCGUGACCUUGUACUGGGC
rnacentral:rRNA from 1 species